rnacentral:rRNA from 1 species
ACCAGCGGCGAUAGCACGUUGAAUGCACCAGUUCCCCCACGGAUCACUGAAGUUAAGCAAACGUUACGCGUGGUUAGUACUUGGAUGGUGACCAUCUGGGGAAUCUGGGUUUCGGAGGUA